AGACAGAAGCCUCGGUGGAAGAUUACUAAUGAGAGUGGCGAACGGGUGAGUAACGCGUGAGCAACCUGCCUAUGACAGUGGGAUAGCCUCGGGAAACCGGGAUUAAUACCGCAUAAAAUCGUAGAAACACAUGUUUCAACGGUCAAAGAUUUAUCGGUCAUAGAUGGGCUCGCGUCUGAUUAGCUAGUUGGUGAGAUAACAGCCCACCAAGGCGACGAUCAGUAGCCGGUCUGAGAGGAUGAACGGCCACAUUGGAACUGAGACACGGUCCAAACUCCUACGGGAGGCAGCAGUGGGGAAUAUUGCACAAUGGGGGAAACCCUGAUGCAGCGACGCCGCGUGAACGAAGAAGGUAUUCGUAUCGUAAAGUUCUGUCCUAUGGGAAGAUAAUGACAGUACCGUAGAAGAAAGCUCCGGCUAAAUACGUGCCAGCAGCCGCGGUAAUACGUAUGGAGCGAGCGUUGUCCGGAAUUAUUGGGCGUAAAGGGUACGCAGGCGGUUUAAUAAGUCGAAUGUUAAAGAUCGGGGCUCAACCCCGUAAAGCAUUGGAAACUGAUAAACUUGAGUAGUGGAGAGGAAAGUGGAAUUCCUAGUGUAGUGGUGAAAUACGUAGAUAUUAGGAGGAAUACCAGUAGCGAAGGCGACUUUCUGGACACAAACUGA
rnacentral:rRNA from 2 species